CCCGCUGCCUCUGGAAGAGAAUAGAUCUUUUGCACCAGCCCCCACUGAGGGUAGAGGGAAAGGCCUCAUGAGAAAUCAAAAGAGAGAGAGUAAAACGGACAUGAAAGAGGAAGAUGAUGAGAGUGAAGAGAGUAAUGAGGCUAAGGACCAGACGAAAGAGCAGAAGGCAGAGGAAAGAAAAAAUGAGCAGGAGAAAGAGCAAGAGGAAAAUGAAGAGAAAGAGGAGGAGAAGACAGAGAGCCAGGGGUCAAAGCCAGCCUGUGAGACUCAGCUUCCAUCUCUUCCCUACCUUAGUGUUCUUUCAGGUGCUGACCCAGAGCUGGGUUCUCAGCUCCAGGAGGCAGCUGCUUCUGGCACUAACGAUAUUGAAGCGUCUUGUGGGAACCCUCCUAUCAGCCACAGGGAAGCUGGUCAGAGCCAGACCUCGUGCCUGGGGAAUGGGGAUCAUGGGUGCUGGCAUUGUGGGUAGGGUGCCUUUGCCUCCCUCUCACAGGCCUGCGUGUGUUACUGACCAAUGUGGAGCUGGGUCUAGGGUGCGAAGAACUGCAAUGGCUGCUGCAGCGGGAGCAGCUGAGUCCACCCCAGGUGCAGCCUGGCUUCUGUCUGUAUCUCAGCACCACCCUCUCCCUCUGUGCCAUGGAAAAAGCGCUAGGUUGUGAACUGCUAAAGGGGCUGAAUGUGUUGGAUCUGGGCCUGAACAUGGAAAUACUGGAAGAACAGAUGCUGCAUGAAAUCUUGUGCAGAGAGUAUCCUGACCUCGAGACCCGCUGGCAGGACCUAAAGAUCAGAGCCCUAGAUACCUGCAAGGCUGUGGAGGCUGCUGAGGAGCGGCUGCUGACGAUGCUGCUGUUCCAGAAUCCGAAGCGUCAGAAGCCAGCCAAGUUUCUGCGGAACAUAGUGAGGGCCCAGGGAAAGCUAUGCCAGCUGCGUGCUCAUUGUGAAGAGUUAGAAGGGCAGAAACUACAGGAGAUGGUAUCGUGGGCACCCUAUCGACCUGUGGUUUGGCAUGGAAUGGCCAUGGUAAAGGCCCUAAGCCAACUGCAGAACCUGCUGCCACUUUUCUGUAUGAGCCCAGAGAACUGGCUGGCAGUCACCAAGCAGGCUCUGGACAGCAUGAAGCCACGUGAGAUUAAUCACGGGGAGGACCUGGCCAGCCAUCUACUGCAAUUGAGAGCACACCUGACCCGCCAGCUACUGGGCAGCACCGUGACUGCACUGGGCCUUACCCAAGUACCCUUGGUGGGUGCAUUGGGCGCUUUGGCUCUGCUGCAAGCAACAGGAAAAGCAUCAGAGCUGGAAAGACUGGCACUCUGGCCUGGACUAGCAGCCUCUCCCAGCACAGUCCACAGCAAGCCAGUCUCAGAUGUGGCUCGACCGGCCUGGCUUGGGCCAAAAGCCUGGCAUGAAUGUGAGAUGUUAGAGCUGCUGCCCCCAUUUGUUGGCCUGUGUGCCUCCCUGGCAGGCCACUCCAGUGCUUGGCAGGCUUACCUGUCACUGUCAUCCACAGUGCUGGGUCCUGCACCUGGGCCAGGGCCUGAGCCACUCAGCCUCCUCCAGAAGCUGAUCCUGUGGCGCGUUCUGCGACCUGAGUGCCUGGCAGGUGCCCUGGCAGACUUCACCACUAGCCUCCUGGGUCGGCCCCUGGAUGAAAACAUGUAUGCUCCCACCAUGCCCUUUAAACAUAGUCAGGCUACUCAGCCCAUGCUGAUCUUGUUGCCACCGCCUGGCCACCCCUCAGCCACUCUGCAUCCUCUGACUGUCAUCCAGAAACUGGCUGCCAAGUAUCAGCAGGGGCAGAAGCAACUGCAGGUGAUAGCCCUGGGCUCUGAAGCCUGGGACCCAGUCUCAGUUGUGGUCAGCACUCUAUCCCAGGCUAUGUAUGAGGGGCACUGGCUGGUGCUGGACAACUGUCAUCUGAUGCCCCAUUGGCCGAAAGAGCUGCUACAGCUCUUGCUGGAACUGUUAGGCAGAGCCAAGGUGGUUGCAGACCUGGAAUCAGAACAGCUUUUAGACCAACCUGAAAGCAGGAAUGUAAGCACUGUUCACAGAGAUUUUCGUCUUUGGCUUAUUGUGCCUGCAGAGUCUAGUGCUUCUUUGCCAGCUGUGCUGACUCAGCACUCCAUGCCUGUUUUCUGGAACCAGUCCCUGGAGCUGGGCCAUGUUUUGAUUGACAGUGUGGAGCUAGCCCAGCAAGUACUCUACAUGCAACCCCCCACCCAGGCACUACCUCUGCUCCUCCUCCAUGGCCUCCUGCUACACCGGCAGCUCUAUGGAACAAGGCUGCAGGCGCACAGGGGGCGCUGGAGUCAAGUGACUCUAACCCAGGUUCUUCAGACCCAAGAUCAGCUGUGGGCAAGUCUUAGCAAUCCCCGUGCUGCCAUGCAAGAGCUGGCUGGUGAGACCCUUCCUCUCCCCCUUGGAGUCAUCAGCCCCCAGGAGAGCCUAGAAGAGGGUGGGGGUGGGAUAUAAUUCACAGCUUUGGUUUUGGCGGUGGUGGAAACUGAAGGUACUGGAACUGAGAGACUCUAACCUCAUCUUCAGCUUCAGUUUUCUACGGGGGUCCUCUGGGGGACACUGAGGACAGGGAGGCCCUGAUUAGCCUCACACAAGCCUGCCUGAGCCCCAGUAGCGGGAGCUGGGUCCAGCCACACACACCUCAGUCUUUGCUGGCCACGCUCAUGCCCCUCCCAGGUAAGCCUCACUCAGGUAUCUGUUUUGGGGUAGGGAAUAGUGCAAUGCAAUGCCACCCCCCACAGAAAUGUGGACAGCAGUCUCAAUAAAGGUAUAUGAGGGGGUAAUAUUCAUACUGUUAUGGGGGUGAUGGCAGUAAAGGAUCAGAGGAAGGCCUACUCUCUCGAGUCUAGGGUGGGGAGAGUCCAUCUUAUCCCUCACCCCUCACCUCUAUCCCCAAGAGCUAAGGGAGCUGGAUGCAAUGGCAGAGUGCAAGGCCCAGAUGCACCUACUGCCCUCACCACCUGAACCCCGGCUCUGCGGACUGAGUGAGGGCCCCCAAGCCUGGCUGUUGCGACGCCAGAGUCGCGCUCUCUUGAGUGCGCUGCAGCGGAGUUCACCCGUGUGGGUUCCUGAGUCUCGAAGAGGCGCCCAGCUUGCGGAAAGGCGACUGCGGCAACGCCUAGUGCAAGUCAACCGGAGGCUGGAGUCACUGCACGAUCUGCUGACCCACGUGAUUCGCCAAGACGAGUCUGGCGCCCCGUGGUCAGUGCUGGGGCCAAAUGCACGGCGGCCUCUGGAGGGCGUCUUAGAGACCGAGGCUCUAGAACUGAGCCAGUUGGUGGGCACGCUACAAGGCGACCUUGAUUGCCUGUUGCAGCAGCUGAAGGGCGCACCCCCGUGCCCCUCCCGCCGCUGUGCUGCGGUGGCCCACGCUCUCUGGACUGGCCGCCUACCCUUGCCUUGGCGACCUCAUGCGCCGGCCGGUCCGCAGCCGCCCUGGCACUGGCUGCGACAGUUGUCGCGCCGUGGGCAACUGUUGGUUCGUUACUUGGGCGUGGGCGCGGACGCGAGCAGUGAUGUACCAGAGCGCGUCUUCCACCUGUCAGCCUUUCGCCACCCGCGCCGCCUGCUGCUGGCAUUGCGUGGGGAAGCUGCCCUGGACCAGAAUGUGCCCAGCUCGAAUUUCCCUGGUAGCCGAGGCUCGGUCUCCAGUCAGCUCCAGUAUAAACGUCUGGAGAUGAACAGCAACCCUCUGCACUUCAGGGUAUCUUCGCGCCGCCCCUCGUUCGCGGUUCCAGUCCCCUCGAAGUCUCUAAUUACACCUCGCAGUUACCCCUUCUUGGUGAUCUUGCCCCUCGGAAACCCUGCUAGCUUCUCCGAUCUCGCUCCACCACGACCUCCUACCCGCUAACCCCCACUUCCCACCUGCCACCUCCCAGCUUCCUAGCCUUGCCUGACCAGCUUCUGACGCCCCCAGGUGGAGAAUGGUCCAAACCCCACGGUUCCAGAGAGAGGGCUGCUGCUGAUCGGGCUACAGGUCCUACAUGCGGAGUGGGACCCAAUAGCUGGAGCCUUGCAGGACAGUCCUUCCAGCCAACCCAGCCCUCUGCCUCCCGUCAGCAUCAGCACACAGGCCCCGGGCACCAGUGACCUGCCAGCCCCAGCCGACCUGACUGUGUACUCGUGUCCUGUGUACAUGGGAGGGCCCCUUGGCACCGCUAAGCUGCAGAGCAGGAACAUCGUGAUGCAUCUGCCCUUACCCACCAAGCUCACCCCCAACACCUGUGUCCAAAGGAGGGUCCAUGUGUGCAGCCCACCCCUGUCUUGAGCCCGUCUACCAAAAUAAAGUUGUAGUGAUUCCAUGAAAGA
rnacentral:sRNA from 1 species